AUUGCCCUAGUAACGGCGAGUGAAGCGGCAACAGCUCAAAUUUGAAAUCUGGCCUUCGGGUCCGAGUUGUAAUUUGUAGAGGAUGCUUUUGGUGAGGUACCUUCCGAGUUCCCUGGAACGGGACGCCAUAGAGGGUGAGAGCCCCGUCUGGUUGGAUACCGAUCCUCUGUAAAGCUCCUUCGACGAGUCGAGUAGUUUGGGAAUGCUGCUCUAAAUGGGAGGUAUAUGUCUUCUAAAGCUAAAUAUUGGCCAGAGACCGAUAGCGCACAAGUAGAGUGAUCGAAAGAUGAAAAGCACUUUGAAAAGAGAGUUAAAAAGUACGUGAAAUUGUUGAAAGGGAAGCGCUCAUGACCAGACUUGGGCUUGGUUGAUCAUCCAGGGUUCUCCCUGGUGCACUCUUCCAGCCCAGGCCAGCAUCAGUUCGCUGUGGGGGAUAAAGGCUUCGGGAAUGUGGCUCCUCCGGGAGUGUUAUAGCCCGCUGCGUAAUACCCUGUGGUGGACUGAGGUUCGCGCAUCUGCAAGGAUGCUGGCGUAAUGGUCAUCAGCGACCCGUCUUGAAACACGGACCAAGGAGUCGUCUUCGUAUGCGAGUGUUCGGGUGUUAAACCCCUACGCGUAAUGAAAGUGAACGCAGGUGAGAGCUUCGGCGCAUCAUCGACCGAUCCUGAUGUUCUCGGAUGGAUUUGAGUAAGAGCAUACGGGGCCGGACCCGAAAGAAGGUGAACUAUGCCUGUAUAGGGUGAAGCCAGAGGAAACUCUGGUGGAGGCUCGCAGCGGUUCUGACGUGCAAAUCGAUCGUCAAAUAUGGGCAUGGGGGCGAAAGACUAAUCGAACCUUCUAGUAGCUGGUUUCCGCCGAA
rnacentral:rRNA from 1 species